AUGAUUCUUGUUGAAUAUUCUAAAGAAAUGAUUGACGAAAUGUUGGUGUGUUUGGUAACUGCAUCAAACAGCGGCUUAAAUUACACUUUAGUCCCUUUUCUUGAGAAUGUAUGUUCAUUAUUUUUAAUGAUUAACCAAAAAAAUAAAUGUCAAAAACAGUGUAAAAGGUUUCCGAAGGCCUUAACAAAAGGGGUAACAAUCAGGAUCUGGAGAGGGAAUGGAUGA